UGUGACCCGGAGGCGCUGGGGCUGUCCUGGGUCGUCACAUGCGAGAAAUCGUCUCACCCCAGCCAGUGUGACGGAGUGAGAGCAAAAGAAAGUUUUGAUAGCAGCGUACGAUUUAUAUUCAGCUGUAUGCUGGGCAGGUCCAACUUGGCAUUUCUUGGCUGUAUCUCUGAAGGAAAGUCAUCUUAAUCUCUAUGAGCCUCCAUUUCCUCAGCUGUAAAAUGGGAAGAUCUUCCUCACACUGCUGUGGGUUGGGAACACGGAGAUGAAUAAAACAAGGCCCCUGUCCUGGGAGAGCCGAGAGGCCACCUGUCAGCUGACAUCUUAGGGAGGACACCAUGGAAGCGGAUUUUCUGACGCAUAUGAAGAGUGAGAACUGUCUACAUCUAAGUCUUCUUUGAGAACAAUACCAGCUGAGCGGCUAUUUACAUUCCAGCUUCUUUUGAGAAUCUCUGAAGAUGAUUAAGUCAUUGUCAGCUGGCCCAGAACCAUAUCCUGCUCCACAAGCCUCGUCCUUGGCAAGAAGUUGCACCUGCCCAGAGAGAAAACCUUUUGAAACUGGCACAAAGGCACUGGAGAGACUGGCAGGGCCCCCUACUUGACGAUCUGGCUCAUCCAUCUGCACACUGACCACGCUAAGAGCUGUCUGCAGUGAUGGAAACCUUCUCUAGCUGUGCUGUCCUCUAUAGUGGCACCAGCUGCCUGUGGCUACUGAGCACUUCAACUGUGGCUGCAGAGACUAUGUUAAAUUGUAUUUAAUCAUAAUUAAUUUAAUUGUAAACAACUACAUGUGGCUAGUGGUUUCUGUACUGGGCACUGCAGGUGCACAUUUCCUGCUGGCCAUGGACAGUAAGCUCCAUAAGAGACUAAUUGUGCCUGGUUUGCUUAUAGGCUUAUCCUCAGCACCUGCACCAGCCUAGAAUAUGAUUGGCACUCUAUUAAUUAAAAGUUCCCAGGUAAAUGAAUUAGUGGAUUCUCUGUUUCCUCCACUAUGCCACAACCUCCUUAAGGGCAGAGAUGGUGUCUUCAAAAAAAAAAAAUUCUGGUCAAAAACACAUAAGAUCUACCACCUUCACCAUUGUUGUGUCCAGUUCAGUAGUAUUAACUACACUUACAUUGUGAUACAACAAAAGAUUGUGUCUUUUUACAUUCUUAGGACCCAGCACAGUGUCUGGCACAUAAUCUUAGUAAACACUGGCAGAGCACAUGCCUUUGCCAAGGCCAGAACAGAGGUUCAGUGCCAUCCAUUACCACCCUUUCACACAUCCACUGGGGCUUUAAAAACAACCUGGAAUGAAAGCUGUUGAGUCUAGAGAAAUGGGCUACAAAGAAGGUUUACAAGAUAAUCUAUUAAGAAUAGGGAAUACAGGCCGGGCACGGUGGCUCACACCUGUAAUCCCAGCACUUUGGGAGGCUGAGGUGGGUGGAUCAUUUGAGGUCAGGAGUUCGAGACCAGCCUGGCCAAUGUGGUGAAAUCCUGUCUCUACCAAAAAUUAUCCAGGCAUGGUGGUGCGUGCCUGUAGUCCCAGCUACUUGGGAGGCUGAGGCAUGAGCAUCGCUUGAACCCGGGAGGCAGAGGUUGCAGUGAGCCGAGAUCGCGCCACUACACCCCAGCCUGGGUGACAGAGCAAGACUCCGUCUCAAAAAAAUAAAAAAACCUAAAAUAAAGCUUAAUACACAUGACAUAUGGAUUGGCAGUCACACAUAAAUAUGAUUGAUAAGGAUACAAAUAUUUGGAGGUGCUGCCUGACCAUCUGUUGCUGAUUAUGUGGAGAUCACUUGUCUAGGACCCUGAGAUAGACUGAUGUUUCUAACUCUGCCACACACGGUCUCUCCCACCCUCCAGACACUUUCUUCCUUCAGUUCAGGGAACCCUCAAUACACAGUAAGAAUGAAGAGGUUGCAGGUCUGAGCUUGAGGAGGACUGGACUAAAAGGAGUUUAGCCCUGCCAGGGCAUUCCGAGGACUGUGAAGAUCCGGAAUAUUGGCCACAGGCAUCUAUGUAUUUGAAUCAUAUCCAUUUUUGAGCUCACUCCUAGCAGAGGAGUCAAAACUUACGUUCUGGCCCCCAGGUACAUUUCCAGUCUCUUACUCAUAAAAUUGUGACAUACCCCCAGGGGUGCCCAAAGGGGUUUGUGAAUCAAGAUAGUUUGAGGAGAAUCGAUUUUCUGAUCCUCAGUUUUUCUAUGCUCUUUUUCCUAAAAGCGAUAUUCCUAAAAAGGCAUCCAAGACAAGGCAUCCCCUUUCCCAUUUGCUGGGGAAGACAGCUUUACAAGAGAAAGCUGCCCCUCUCACCCAUGUGACCCCCCACUCUGGGGCACUGCCCUAGGGGUAGAAAUCUCCAAGGCAUCAAACAAAGUGACUCCUGGGGGUCAAGUGACAGAGGAGCAAGUCUUUCUGCAAGUCAAGUGGUUUCCAGCUCUGCUUUCAGCAAAAUUGAAAGAGGCACUAAUCAAAUUGCCAGCGGAUCAUAAAAAAACAUUUUGAUAAUAAUGUUAUUAGGCAUAUAACUUGGAAGAAGUUCAAAGAAUUGAAUGGCAUCCUCAUAACA
rnacentral:lncRNA from 10 species